rnacentral:lncRNA from 1 species
UUUGUCUUCUGAAUCUGAAAUAUUUGUCCGGGAAAUCCUUGAUAUUCCAAGGUUAUUUGCGUUCCCAUUAUGUUGCGCAAAAUAUGUAGAGAAAGAAAACACCAAUAAAAGUAUCGAUUUUUUUUUUCAAAUCCAUUAAAAGUUAUCCUGUCCGAAUUUCGAAAUAUCUGUAUGAAUGAUAUCUUCGCAUUUUUUGUGCUUAGUCUUGUUCUUUUU